AGCGAACGCUGGCGGCAGGCCUAAUACAUGCAAGUCGAACGGUCUCUUCGGAGGCAGUGGCGGACGGGUGAGUAACGCGUGGGAAUAUGCCCUUUGGUACGGAACAACUGAGGGAAACUUCAGCUAAUACCGUAUGUGCCCUUCGGGGGAAAGAUUUAUCGCCAUUGGAGUAGCCCGCGUUGGAUUAGGUAGUUGGUGGGGUAAAGGCCUACCAAGCCUACGAUCCAUAGCUGGUCUGAGAGGAUGAUCAGCCACACUGGGACUGAGACACGGCCCAGACUCCUACGGGAGGCAGCAGUAGGGAAUCUUGCGCAAUGGGCGAAAGCCUGACGCAGCCAUGCCGCGUGAAUGAUGAAGGUCUUAGGAUUGUAAAAAUUCUUUCACCGGGGGAAGAUAAUGACGGUACCCGGAGAAGAAGCCCCGGCUAACUUCGUGCCAGCAGCCGCGGUAAU
rnacentral:rRNA from 1 species